rnacentral:rRNA from 1 species
UACAGAGGUCUCAAGCGUUGUUCGGAAUCACUGGGCGUAAAGGGCGCGUAGGCGGUCAGGUCAGUCCCGUGUGAAAUCCCUCGGCUCAACUGAGGAACUGCACGGGAAACUGCCUGGCUUGAGUUCUGGAGGGGGUAGCGGAAUUCCUGGUGUAGCGGUGAAAUGCGUAGAUAUCAGGAGGAACACCGGUGGCGAAGGCGGCUACCUGGACAGAAACUGACGCUGAGGCACGAAAGCUAGGGGAGCAAACAGG